rnacentral:rRNA from 1 species
GACGAACGCUGGCGGCGUGCUUAACACAUGCAAGUCGAACGGAAAGGCCUGCUUUCCCUUGUGGAUUGCGGGUACUCGAGUGGCGAACGGGUGAGUAACACGUGAGUGAUCUGCCCCCAACUUGGGUAUAAGCCUGGGAAACUGGGUCUAAUUCCCGAUAGGACUGCAGGGUGGUGCCUGUGGUGGAAAACGAUUUUCUAGUGGUUGGGGAUGAGCUCGCGGCCUAUCAGCUUGUUGGUGGGGUAAUGGCCUACCAAGGCGGCGACGGGUAGCCGGCCUGAGAGGGUGGACGGCCACAGUGGGACUGAGAUACGGCCCAGACGCCUACGGGAGGCAGCAGUGGGGAAUAGUGCACAAUGGGCGGAAGCCUGAUGCAGCGACGCCGCGUGGGGGAUGACGGCCUUCGGGUUGUAAACUCCUUUCGACCGCGAGGAAGCCACCUGGUUGGAAGGGUGGUGACGGUAGUGGUAGAAGAAGCACCGGCUAACUACGUG